UACGGAGGAUGCAAGCGUUAUCCGGAAUCAUUGGGCGUAAAGCGUUCGUAGGUGGCUGUGCAAGUCUGCCGUUAAAGACAGUGGCUUAACCACUGAAAGGCGGUGGAAACUGCACAGCUAGAGUGCGGUAGGGGCAGAGGGAAUUUCCGGUGGAGCGGUGAAAUGCGUAGAGAUCGGAAAGAACACCAACGGCGAAAGCACUCUGCUGGGCCGACACUGACACUGAGAGACGAAAGCUAGGGGAGCGAAUGGG
rnacentral:rRNA from 1 species